AACACGUGGGUAACCUGCCUGUAAGACUGGGAUAACUCCGGGAAACCGGGGCUAAUACCGGAUGGUUGUUUGAACCGCAUGGUUCAAACAUAAAAGGUGGCUUCGGCUACCACUUACAGAUGGACCCGCGGCGCAUUAGCUAGUUGGUGAGGUAACGGCUCACCAAGGCAACGAUGCGUAGCCGACCUGAGAGGGUGAUCGGCCACACUGGGACUGAGACACGGCCCAGACUCCUACGGGAGGCAGCAGUAGGGAAUCUUCCGCAAUGGACGAAAGUCUGACGGAGCAACGCCGCGUGAGUGAUGAAGGUUUUCGGAUCGUAAAGCUCUGUUGUUAGGGAAGAACAAGUACCGUUCGAAUAGGGCGGUACCUUGACGGUACCUAACCAGAAAGCCACGGCUAACUACGUGCCAGCAGCCGCGGUAAUACGUAGGUGGCAAGCGUUGUCCGGAAUUAUUGGGCGUAAAGGGCUCGCAGGCGGUUUCUUAAGUCUGAUGUGAAAGCCCCCGGCUCAACCGGGGAGGGUCAUUGGAAACUGGGGAACUUGAGUGCAGAAGAGGAGAGUGGAAUUCCACGUGUAGCGGUGAAAUGCGUAGAGAUGUGGAGGAACACCAGUGGCGAAGGCGACUCUCUGGUCUGU
rnacentral:rRNA from 1 species